GAAACAGUGGCAAAUACCUAAAAGAUAAGGGUUGAACGAGGUUGUGCAACGGAUUACGAGUGCCUUGUGAAUUUUCUAUAUAUCGUAUAGAAGUCGUUACAAAUAACUACAUAGCCUUAUAUGAGGACGUUCAGCGAGUGUUCCUGCCGAUACUGUGGUUCGAACAGCACGUUACGAUGCAACCGGAAUUUGUCGGUGAAAUUGCCACAAGCUCUCAGUAUUCCAAG